CUGCGGCAGCGACGCUGAUGCGUUGUUGGGUAGGGGAGCGUUCUGUAAGCCUGCGAAGGUGGCCUGUGAGGGUUGCUGGAGGUAUCAGAAGUGCGAAUGCUGACAUAAGUAACGAUAAAGCGGGUGAAAAGCCCGCUCGCCGGAAGACCAAGGGUUCCUGUCCAACGUUAAUCGGGGCAGGGUGAGUCGACCCCUAAGGCGAGGCCGAAAGGCGUAGUCGAUGGGAAACGGGUUAAUAUUCCCGUACUUGGUGUUACUGCGAAGGGGGGACGGAGAAGGCUAUGUUGGCCGGGCGACGGUUGUCCCGGUUUAAGCGUGUAGGUGUGUGUUCCAGGUAAAUCCGGUUCACUUUAACACUGAGGCGUGAUGACGAGGCACUACGGUGCUGAAGCAACAAAUGCCCUGCUUCCAGGAAAAGCCUCUAAGCAUCAGGUAACAUCAAAUCGUACCCCAAACCGACACAGGUGGUCAGGUAGAGAAUACCAAGGCGCUUGAGAGAACUCGGGUGAAGGAACUAGGCAAAAUGGUGCCGUAACUUCGGGAGAAGGCACGCUGACACGUAGGUGAAGUGAUUUACUCAUGGAGCUGAAGUCAGUCGAAGAUACCAGCUGGCUGCAACUGUUUAUUAAAAACACAGCACUGUGCAAACACGAAAGUGGACGUAUACGGUGUGACGCCUGCCCGGUGCCGGAAGGUUAAUUGAUGGGGUCAGCGCAAGCGAAGCUCCUGAUCGAAGCCCCGGUAAACGGCGGCCGUAACUAUAACGGUCCUAAGGUAGCGAAAUUCCUUGUCGGGUAAGUUCCGACCUGCACGAAUGGCGUAAUGAUGGCCAGGCUGUCUCCACCCGAGACUCAGUGAAAUUGAACUCGCUGUGAAGAUGCAGUGUACCCGCGGCAAGACGGAAAGACCCCGUGAACCUUUACUAUAGCUUGACACUGAACAUUGAGCCUUGAUGUGUAGGAUAGGUGGGAGGCUUUGAAGUGUGGACGCCAGUCUGCAUGGAGCCGGCCUUGAAAUACCACCCUUUAAUGUUUGAUGUUCUAACGUGGACCCGUGAUCCGGGUUGCGGACAGUGUCUGGUGGGUAGUUUGACUGGGGCGGUCUCCUCCUAAAGAGUAACGGAGGAGCACGAAGGUUGGCUAAUCCUGGUCGGACAUCAGGAGGUUAGUGCAAUGGCAUAAGCCAGCUUGACUGCGAGCGUGACGGCGCGAGCAGGUGCGAAAGCAGGUCAUAGUGAUCCGGUGGUUCUGAAUGGAAGGGCCAUCGCUCAACGGAUAAAAGGUACUCCGGGGAUAACAGGCUGAUACCGCCCAAGAGUUCAUAUCGACGGCGGUGUUUGGCACCUCGAUGUCGGCUCAUCACAUCCUGGGGCUGAAGUAGGUCCCAAGGGUAUGGCUGUUCGCCAUUUAAAGUGGUACGCGAGCUGGGUUUAGAACGUCGUGAGACAGUUCGGUCCCUAUCUGCCGUGGGCGCUGGAGAACUGAGGGGGGCUGCUCCUAGUACGAGAGGACCGGAGUGGACGCAUCACUGGUGUUCGGGUUGUCAUGCCAAUGGCACUGCCCGGUAGCUAAAUGCGGAAGAGAUAAGUGCUGAAAGCAUCUAAGCACGAAACUUGCCCCGAGAUGAGUUCUCCCUGAGACUUUAAGUCUCCUGAAGGAACGUUGAAGACGACGACGUUGAUAGGCCGGGUGUGUAAGCGCAGCGAUGCGUUGAGCUAACCGGUACUAAUGAACCGUGAGGCUUAACCUUACAACGCCGAAG
rnacentral:rRNA from 2 species